rnacentral:rRNA from 1 species
UGAGGGAAAGGCGAAAAGAACCCCGGCGAGGGGAGUGAAAAAGAACCUGAAACCGUGUACGUACAAGCAGUGGGAGCCCCACCACUAAGCCAGUGGUGAACUCCACAUACGCAUCCUUUGCUGAGGAUACGGUUAACGGAGCGAAAGCGACGUUCAACCUCAAAAGAAGCAGAGGGGGCUUAGUGGUGGGGUGACUGCGUACCUUUUGUAUAAUGGGUCAGCGACUUAUAUUCUGUAGCAAGGUUAACCGAAUAGGGGAGCCGUAGGGAAACCGAGUCUUAACUGGGCGUUAAGUUGCAGGGUAUAGACCCGAAACCCGGUGAUCUAGCCAUGGGCAGGUUGAAGGUUGGGUAACACUAACUGGAGGACCGAACCGACUAAUGUUGAAAAAUUAGCGGAUGACCUGUGGCUGGGGGUGAAAGGCCAAUCAAACCGGGAGAUAGCUGGUUCUCCCCGAAAGCUAUUUAGGUAGCGCCUCGUGAACUCAUCUCCGGGGGUAGAGCACUGUUUCGGCUAGGGGGCCAUCCCGGCUUACCAACCCGAUGCAAACUGCGAAUACCGGAGAAUGUUAUCACGGGAGACACACGGCGGGUGCUAACGUCCGUCGUGAAGAGGGAAACAACCCAGACCGCCAGCUAAGGUCCCAAAGUCAUGGUUAAGUGGGAAACGAUGUGGGAAGGCCCAGACAGCCAGGAUGUUGGCUUAGAAGCAGCCAUCAUUUAAAGAAAGCGUAAUAGCUCACUGGUCGAGUCGGCCUGCGCGGAAGAUGUAACGGGGCUAAACCAUGCACCGAAGCUGCGGCAGCGACACUGAUGUGUUGUUGGGUAGGGGAGCGUUCUGUAAGCCUGUGAAGGUGGCCUGUGAGGGUUGCUGGAGGUAUCAGAAGUGCGAAUGCUGACAUAAGUAACGAUAAAGCGGGUGAAAAGCCCGCUCGCCGGAAGACCAAGGGUUCCUGUCCAACGUUAAUCGGGGCAGGGUGAGUCGACCCCUAAGGCGAGGCCGAAAGGCGUAGUCGAUGGGAAACGGGUUAAUAUUCCCGUACUUGGUGUUACUGCGAAGGGGGGACGGAGAAGGCUAUGUUGGCCGGGCGACGGUUGUCCCGGUUUAAGCGUGUAGGUGUGUGUUCCAGGUAAAUCCGGUUCACUUUAACACUGAGGCGUGACGACGAGGCACUACGGUGCUGAAGCAACAAAUGCCCUGCUUCCAGGAAAAGCCUCUAAGCAUCAGGUAACAUCAAAUC